UUAUCCUGCCAAAUGACCUGAAAAAUUCACAGAUGACAGAAUACUUAUUCAUCCAAAACCAAAAGAAAUUAUUAGUUUGCAGGAAAAGGCACAAAUAUGUUAAUAUGCUAUAUCAAUAUAGGUAAUCUGAAAAGAAGGUACCUCCACUUGCAAAUUGUUAUAGGGCAACAUACUAUCCUUCCCUUAAUAGAUUUCUCUAACAUAAUUUUAGUUGAAUAUUCUUUAGAUUCUGUAUUCUACUUAUCGUUUACGUUUAUAUUAUCUUUAAUCUCUUGAAAAUUACAAAUUAUAAAGUCCCCCACACCAUGUCCAGUGUGACAUAUUUUCUUUGUGUGUAUGUGUAGAGGGAGGAAGAGAGUAUUAAUAUAUCAACUGGAUUCAGGUAUAAAUCAUUGUAUGCUAGGACCAGUGAGAACUGAGAAGCUAAUGCACCUGAAAAUCUUGAGCAUUCUG
rnacentral:misc_RNA from 1 species